UACGAAGGGUGCAAGCGUUACUCGGAAUUACUGGGCGUAAAGCGUGCGUAGGUGGUGAGUUAAGUCUGUCGUGAAAGCCCCGGGCUCAACCUGGGAAUGGCGAUGGAUACUGGCUCGCUAGAGUGCGGUAGAGGAGAGUGGAAUUCCCGGUGUAGCAGUGAAAUGCGUAGAGAUGUGGAGGAAUACCGAUGGCGAAGGCAGCCCCCUGGGAUAACACUGACGCUCAUGCACGAAAGCGUGGGGAGCAAACAGG
rnacentral:rRNA from 1 species